GUGCCCCGCGGUAAUACGUAGGGCGCAAGCGUUGUCCGGAAUUAUUGGGCGUAAAGAGCUCGUAGGCGGUCUGUUACGUCCGCUGUGAAAACCCAGGGCUUAACCCUGGGCUUGCAGUGGAUACGGGCAGACUAGAGGCAGGUAGGGGAGAAUGGAAUUCCCGGUGUAGCGGUGAAAUGCGCAGAUAUCGGGAGGAACACCGGUGGCGAAGGCGGUUCUCUGGGCCUGACCUGACGCUGAGGAGCGAAAGCGUGGGGAGCGAACAGG
rnacentral:rRNA from 1 species